rnacentral:miRNA from 1 species
GACUUGGCCGAACUGUGGAUC